CACCACCACCACCACCACCACCAUGCCCGUCACCACCACCACCAGCACAGAUCUCCCCUGUAGCUGGGCCGUCUUCCGUGCAGCACCUGCCCCCCACUGGUAUUGAGCCUGGGCCAGUGGAGAUGCCGAACAGCCCUGGCUGCCAGGAGCCCACCGUCAGCAGUCCUUGGCCCGAAGAGAACACUGCACUGGGACAUGCAGGCUGGAAACACGUGGCAAAACGCAGCCCUGAGCCCCGCGAGGUCUGCUCCUUCCCUCCUGAGCACUGGGCUCCCUGCCCCAUGGGGAUGGCACAGACACCGAGGGGGCAGAGGGGGUGACGCACUGCCGGUGCCUGAGGACACACCGCUACCCCCCUUCAGCCCAGCAAGAGGGCCCCCCGCCCCCGCCAACAGGCAAGGCAUCCCCGGGCCAGGAUAUGUGUCCAUGUGGGGUCCGCACCCCACCUCAGGACCACCUGCGGUCACCUGGGACUCCACCUCCACAGACAGGGCCCAGGGCCCAUGUCCCAGCCACACCUCUGCGCUACAUCCUUCUGAGACGUGGACAGGCCAUAGGGGUCACUCCCCUGGGCUGGCUGGUGGCUGGUGCGUGGAGAUCGGAUGGUGCCGCCGUGGGCUUGACCGUCCACAGGCAGCUUGCAGGAAGGGAUGGGGCCGUAGCCACUGACAGGGCCGGACCCUCCUGUCCUGAUACUCGUUUUGGGCCCAGGACUCAGGAAUCCAAGCUCAUGGACCAGGUACCAGUCAGGACGCAGGGGUCUGGUGGGAGUGGGAGGACGCCCUGUGGGGCUGUGGCCGCACCCUGGCCGGCGGCAGGUCGGCUGCUGGGCCCUGCGGGGCUGUGUGCCCAGGCUGCGUCCUGGCCAAGGCACCAUCUGCAGGCGAACGUGGCUCACAGCAUGAGGCCGCCGGGCUGCUGACUCCCAGAAGCAGGUCCUGGGCAGGGCGCCCACCAUUAUCGCCUGCGGUCCACGCAUCUCCGGGCCCCCGCCCUCGCAGCGCAGGCCCUGCCACCCAGGGUUUCGGCCUUUACCUGGGGGCAGGGGGGCGGCUCUUCCUCCCUCCCCCCGCCCAAGGCUGUCUGGCAGCAGAGAGGCCCCAGGAGCACCCAUGUGGGCAGUCAGGCAUGGCAGGGAUGACUUAGCAGUUAAGAAAGGAGAGGACAAAGCAGGAGAGGGGACAUGGAGUGGAGACAGGUGACCCGUAACGGGGACGGAGGCCGUCCCCCCCCGGACACCCCAAUUCCACCCAGGACAGAGCAGGCCCCCACCCCACAUACUCUGAAUCCAUUGGGGGAGCAGGGCCACCCUCCACCGGCGGCCCAAGCGCCUUCUGAGCAGGGGUCCAGGUGGGUCUCCCGACCAAGCUCAGAACAAGUGCAGUGAGUGAUCGCGCCGGAAUCGGGUUGUAUAGGGUGAGGACGUCACCCAACAGCCUGUUGGCGGGAGCAGCAGUGAAUAAAUAACAGAUGAACGGCUUGAGGAAGGGAAGGGGGUCCGAGGGAGGUGGCUUCCGCCCUGGGCUCCCACCCUCAGACGGGGGCUGACCUCCAGGGACAGCGGGCUUUGGGUUCCCCAGGACCCCCCGGGUGAGAAAUCGGUGUUGGGGACACCAGGCUGGGAUCUGGGGGCCUGGUCCAACCCUGCCUCUCUCCAACCAAGAGCCCCAGAGGAGCUGAGAAGGCUGCCGGAGCCCACACCUGAGGCCGGGAAGUGCUGGGAAGCGUGGCGGGGGCGGCAGCAGCUGGUGCAGGAGGGCCUGGACCCAGAGCACCGGGCCCCGACCUGACCCGGUCUCAGGGGGCCAGCAUCCCAGGAGACUGACCGACUCAGGGAGCCCGUGCCAGUGAGACCACAAGAGGAGGGGCCCGAGCCCAGUGCCCUCCCCCAGACUUUCAGAGCUGAAAAGUGAACACUCUCCCAGCGGAAUUUCCGUCAGGGAGCUCAUGGGGAGGACAGCCACGCUGAGAUGCAGAGAAUAAACGUGGAAUUUCCGUCAGGGAGCUCAUGGGGAGGACAGUCACGCUGAGAUGCAGAGAAUAAACGCAGAUAUUUCAGGAAGAAACGUCUCUAAGCAGCGAGCAUGAAGAAGGAAAUCUCAGCUGGGGACGGAGUCGGGAGAGCUGCCCAGUGAGCAGCAAGGGCUCCGGAGACAGAAGAGGACAGGAGAAGGCGCGCAAGCCUUCCGGGAAGAGAAGCAAACGCCGGUCUUGAUCUGGGGAGACCGGCACCCGCCAGCCGGGCGGGGGUCCCUGGCUUCCGGGCAGGGCUGGUGAUGGGGCCCCCCGUGAAGACGGACAGACACGGGACCCGUGGACACGGGCUCUGCCUCUGGCGAGUGGAGGCUGGAAGUCCACUUGGCACACUGGUGUCCACUCCAGAGGCGGCCCCCACGGCCACUGCCCGCCCAGGGCGGAGGAUGGGCUCGGAGGGGACGUGACCACCUUCCCCACAUGAGCAGAGCAGGUGUGAGGCAGGGAGAACCCAACAACCGGGAACCCUAACAGAGACCUCGAGGCAAAGCAGAAACGGCGCAGAGCCACGGGGCCCGUCUGGACAUCUGGGCGGCUACGUGGACAUCAGCCCAGCUGGGGACGCGGCACUGACACACCACGCAGAGGCCCUCUCGUACCGGCCCCUCCUGGGGGGACACCCACAGGAGCAGAAGGGAGCACGGGGUCUCGGCAUAGCCGAGGGGCGGGGGGUGCGGCCCGCUGCUUGGUGAGUUUGGGCGGCCCUGCGAUUGAGCCCACGCAGGGCACACGGAGGAAGCGUGCUGUGCUGGUUCACGGCCCAAGCCUCCGCAAGGCAUGGGGACCCCUGCUCUGCACCUGCUGGGCCCCGGGUGGCCGUGGGAGAGGGCAAAGCACCUGCCACAGAGGCCACGCGGAGGUGCCGCAGGCAGCGGAGGGCACAGACCACAGCGGGGAGAGAACCAGCCCACAGAGCCCGGCAGCCCGAGCCGAGAGCCACCACACGCUUGCUCUUCAACAGACCACGAGCCGGCCCCGCGCUGCUGGCGGCUGGCGGCCUCUGUGAUCUCUGCCUUGGGGUCUCCCAGCUGCCCCAGGAGCAGAUCCCCUAGUCCCACCCGGAAGUCAAACUCCCCUCAUUCCAACCUUUUAAAAACAUCGCUCUGCUCUAAGAAUGAAUCUUAGAAACAGUGUAUGGGUAAAAGUCAAAGAUUGUUGCAUUAUGUAUUUCUUUAAAAAGCCAAUAGAACAAUUUAGUAUUAGCAAGUUCAACGUGACGGCUGAUACACUUGAUUUCAUUCCUUCCAUCUUUGUAUUUGUUUGUUUUGCUGGCUUGCUAUUCACUCCGUUUUUCACCGUUCACCUGAAGUCCCCUGUGCUCUGCAUUCUGUUAGGAGAGAACAGCGAAGGAAGAAUAAAAGAACACGAGACUCAUAAAACAAAUAGCAAGAGGGGAGACUUAAAAUCAACCAUAUGAAUGUAAGGGGACUAAACCCUCUAAUUAAAAGACAAAGAUUGUCAGGCUAGAGAAAGGAAGGAAGACCCAAGUAUAUGAUAUUUACAUAAGACGUACUUUACACAUAAAAACCCAGAAAGAUUGAAGUAAAAGGAUGGAAGACGUAUUGGUAAACGCUCACUGGAGCAGGGGUGGUAUAAAUGCCCGUAUUAACAUCAGACAAAAUAGACCUCAAAGGCAAGAAGUAUGGAACACGGGAUAAAGAGAAGUAUUUCCUAUUGACGGAAAGGCUAAUUCAACAGGAAGACACAACAACCCUAAAUGCGUAGGCAUCUAAUAACAUAGUUUGGAACCACAUACAGCAGCAGCUGACACGGCUAAAGGGAGACAUUCGUGAGGCCACAACCGUGGCUGGAAAUGGUAUCCAGCCAACAGGACAAGAUGAACCAACCUGGAGGAUGCGGGAGAUCUGACCAACACCAUCAAUCCGCCUGAUGGACACACAGCGCUACGUCCAACAGCGCUACGUCCAACAGCGCGACAUCCAACAGCGCUACAUCCAAGUAGAUUCUCGUCCAGUCGCACGGAACAUUUCCCAGAGGAAGUCGUACGGCAGCCGUGAAGCAGGUCUUCACACAUUUCCCAGGACCGGACUCACAGGGAACCAGACGCCCAGCCCAGUGAGCCUUCCGGCAGCGUGGCCCGACCCGUGGCCCGACUGAGCCAGAAGUGCCGGCCGAGCCGCUCCCUCUACCCUGACGCUCACAAGCUAGGAGAGACAACAAACACUUAUUAUUAUUAUGCCAUGUUAAUAUAGUCAUAUAUAAUAAUACAUAAUAUAAUUAUUUAUAAUUCUUUAUUGCUAUUUAUCUACUCCUCCAGCUGCUUUGUUCUGGAGUAACUUGUUAAUGCAGCAACAGGUAGCUAACACACCUUCUAGCUUCUUGAGUUGGGAGCCCAGGGUAUGGAUUUUACCUGUCUCUUCCUUUGUGGCAUAUACAUUUGAAAGUGGUGAAGUUCCCUCUAAGCACUGAUUAAACCCAAAGAAAACAGAAAAGAAGGGGAAGAACAGGAAUCAAUGAUUCAGAAAACACGAUAGAAACUCGACAAAGCCAACCGUGGUUGUUCGAAAAGAUUAACAGAAGUGACGAAUCCCGAGCAAGAUUAAGGAAAACGGGGCAACAUCAGUAACGAGAAAGGGGACAUUGUUACAGGUCCUCAGUGACUGAGAAAAUAUGAGGAUAUUAUGAAGAAGUUUAUGCUGAUGAACCUGACAACUUGGAUGAAAUGGAAAAACUCAUGGAAAAACAUGUCUACCAAAGAAGUUGACACAAAAAGAAGUAGAAAAUCUGAGUUAUCCUACAUCUGUUAAAGAAAUCGAAUCAAAGGUCUUUUCAAGAUCAAGCCCUUAUUUCACAUCUAAUCAGACGUUCGGCACAAGAGACUAAGUCGCGCCGACGCUGGGUGAGAGCCCGGGGGCCUGGGACGGGGCCGGCGGUGCUGCAGGGCCAGGGGAGGGGCAGCGCCCAGGGAGGGGAGCAGCGCCGCCGGGCGAGAGGAGGGCACUCCUGCCUCCCCAGCAAAGACGGCCCCACGGACCUCGGGCCCCACUUUAGUCAGUCGUGAAAGCUUGAUCCCCGCUGUGAGCAGGGUCGGGGGGCACAGGUGCCGACACCACGUUCUGCCAGCCGACGGGCUGCAAACGGACGCCACGCGGCCGUCACCAUAUUCUCUUAAUGCAGCUCAGACCUCCUGCAGCCUCAGAAUACGCAGCGCAGAUGGGGACACGUAAACCUCAUGCCCUGCACGGGGGCGACCCCUGGGGAGGCAGCGAGCUGCCGGCCUGUUUUCCAGGUGAGAAGAUGCUCAGUCUGUACCAGUGAUACUCUGUCAUUAGCAUCUGCAAACG